UGGUGGAGCGAUUUGUCUGCUUAAUUGCGAUAACGAACGAGACUCUGGCCUACUAACUAGAAGACAGUUCUUCGAGACUGUCAUACCUCUUAGAGGGAUAAGGGGAUUGAAGCCCCCAAGAGAUUGAGCAAUAACA
rnacentral:rRNA from 1 species